rnacentral:rRNA from 1 species
AACGAACGCUGGCGGCAUGCCUAACACAUGCAAGUCGAACGAGACCUUCGGGUCUAGUGGCGCACGGGUGCGUAACGCGUGGGAAUCUACCCUCAGGUUCGGAAUAACUCAGAGAAAUUUUAGCUAAUACCGGAUGAUGACGUAAGUCCAAAGAUUUAUCGCCUGAGGAUGAGCCCGCGUAGGAUUAGGUAGUUGGUGAGGUAAAGGCUCACCAAGCCGACGAUCCUUAGCUGGUCUGAGAGGAUGAUCAGCCACACUGGGACUGAGACACGGCCCAGACUCCUACGGGAGGCAGCAGUGGGGAAUAUUGGACAAUGGGCGAAAGCCUGAUCCAGCAAUGCCGCGUGAGUGAUGAAGGCCUUAGGGUUGUAAAGCUCUUUUACCCGGGAUGAUAAUGACAGUACCGGGAGAAUAAGCUCCGGCUAACUCCGUG